rnacentral:rRNA from 1 species
GGACACGUGAAAAUCCUGUGUGAAUCCGCCGGGCCCAUCCGGCAAGGCUAAAUAUCCCAGGUGAACUGAAACAUCUUAGUACCUGCAGGAAGAGAAAAAUAAGAAAUGAUUCCCCCAGUAGUGGCGAGCACGGGGAAAAAGCCCAAAACCGUUUCUGUUUCGGCAGAAGCGGGGUUGUAGGACCGCGACAUCGGACGAAGUAUGGCGAGUGGAAGUAUCUGAAGUAUACAUAGAUGUGCAGCNNCUAUCCCUAGUGUGCUUGACCUCCACGACUCGCGCGUCGACGCGGGACACGUGAAAUCCUGUGUGAAUCCGCCGGGCCCAUCCGGCAAGGCUAAAUACUCCCAGGUCGACGCGGCCG